rnacentral:rRNA from 1 species
AAGUCGAACGGACACCUUCGGGUGUCAGUGGCGAACGGGUGAGUAACGCGUAGGAAUCUACCCCUGGGAGGGGGAUAACAGCUGGAAACGGCUGCUAAUACCCCAUACAGGCGCAAGCUGAAAGGAGCAAUCCGCCCAGGGAUGAGCCUGCGUCGGAUUAGCUAGUUGGUGGGGUAAUGGCCUACCAAGGCGACGAUCCGUAGCGGGUCUGAGAGGAUGGCCCGCCACACUGGGACUGAGACACGGCCCAGACUCCUACGGGAGGCAGCAGUGGGGAAUUUUCCGCAAUGGGCGAAAGCCUGACGGAGCAAUGCCGCGUGAGGGAAGAAGGCCUUCGGGUUGUAAACCUCUUUUCUGGGGGACGAA